UGGGGAAUCAUGGUCAAUGGGCGAAAGCCUGAUGCAGCAACGCCGCGUGAGGGAAGACGGUUUUCGGAUUGUAAACCUUUGUCUUUGGUGAAGAUAAUGACGGUAACCAAGGAGGAAGCCACGGCUAACUACGUGCCAGCAGCCGCGGUAAUACGGAGGAUGCGAGCGUUAUCCGGAUUCAUUGGGUUUAAAGGGUGCGUAGGCGGACUAUUAAGUCAGUGGUGAAAUCCUGCAGCUUAACUGCAGAACUGCCAUUGAUACUGAUAGCCUUGAGUUUGGUUAAGGUAGGCGGAAUGUGUAAUGUAGCGGUGAAAUGCUUAGAUAUUACACAGAACACCAAUUGCGUAGGCAGCUUACUGAGCCGACACUGACGCUGAGGCACGAAAGCGUGGGGAUCGAACA
rnacentral:rRNA from 1 species